rnacentral:rRNA from 1 species
GCUAACAUGCAAGUCGACGCUCUCGUUCCUUCGGGAACAAUGAGAGAGUGGCGAACGGGUGAGUAACACGUGAGAAACCUGCCCUGGAGAUUGGGACAACCCGAGGAAACUCGGGCUAAUACCAAAUACCUUCACCGGAUCGCAUGGUCUGGUGAAGAAAUGCUCCGGCGCUCUGGGAGGGUCUCGCGGCCUAUCAGCUAGUUGGUGAGGUAACGGCUCACCAAGGCAUCGACGGGUAGCUGGUCUGAGAGGACGAUCAGCCACACUGGGACUGAGACACGGCCCAGACUCCUACGGGGAGGCAGCA